GAUGAACGCUGGCGGCGUGCCUAAUACAUGCAAGUCGAGCGAACAGACGAGGAGCUUGCUCCUCUGACGUUAGCGGCGGACGGGUGAGUAACACGUGGAUAACCUACCUAUCAGACUGGGAUAACUUCGGGAAACCGGAGCUAAUACCGGAUAAUAUAUUGAACCGCAUGGUUCAAUAGUGAAAGACGGUUUUGCUGUCUCUUCUAGAUGGAUCCGCGCUGCAUUAGCUAGUUGGUAAGGUAACGGCUUACCAAGGCGACGAUGCGUAGCCGACCUGAGAGGGUGAUCGGCCACACUGGAACUGAGACACGGUCCAGACUCCUACGGGAGGCAGCAGUAGGGAAUCUUCCGCAAUGGGCGAAAGCCUGACGGAGCAACGCCGCGUGAGUGAUGAAGGUCUUCGGAUCGUAAAACUCUGUUAUUAGGGAAGAACAAAUGUGUAAGUAACUAUGCACGUCUUGACGGUACCUAAUCAGAAAGCCACGGCUAACUACGUG
rnacentral:rRNA from 1 species